rnacentral:rRNA from 1 species
UACUCCUACGGGAGGCAGCAGUGGGGAAUUUUGGACAAUGGACGCAAGUCUGAUCCAGCCAUGCCGCGUGCGGGAAGAAGGCCUUCGGGUUGUAAACCGCUUUUGUCAGGGAAGAAAUCUUCUGGGUUAAUACCUCGGGAGGAUGACGGUACCUGAAGAAUAAGCACCGGCUAACUACGUGCCAGCAGCCGCGGUAAU